ensembl:lncRNA
UUGUUCUGAGCUGUGUUUGUUAACACUAGUUAAAGUGGUCCAGUACAGAGAGAAUCCAGAGUUGGUGACUUUACUGUUGGAGGUUCUUGGCUUCUCCCUCAGUCUGGAAGGACAUUUACCCAGUAAAACCUGCAGGUCUGUGGGGAGAUUCUUACGUUUCUCUUCUGACAGACUCAACCUCACUCUAAAACCUAAAGCCGUCUCUCUAAGAGGAACAAGGCUUCUUUUCAGACACAUCAAAAACAUACACACACUNGCAGUUUUUGACUUUAUAUUUAUCAUGGCAUAGAAAUAAAACAAAAAUUCUGUAUGUGUAGACUAUCUAAAGAAACUCUCCGGAAGCUGGUUGAAUUUGUCUGUGAAGCUCAGGAAGAGGAACUGACUCAGUGCUUCCUGCAGAAAGUGGGUGGAGAUCUGACUUCCUGUUCCUUGAGCUGGGAAGAGCUUCACUAUUUCCUGCAGCACAAGAUUCCACACAUCACUGUGGACCUCAGAAAGAGCAACAUUGGAUGUAAUGUCAGAAAAAUGUUGCCAUUUUUUAACAGGAUUCAAUUUAAACGGAUCAGCUCUACCUUCAUGCUGUCUGUAAUCAGAGAGAUCUAUGAGUCCGGCUCUGUUGGUUUUGUGUCCAGUCUGUUGAGUUCAGUUGAGAACUACAUUAACCUGCAGAGCAGAGAGCUGGACUCUGUUCACUGUGCGGCCCUGCGCUUCACACUGCAGCACUGCACUGCAGUUUCACUCAAUCUACAGUGGACCUCCAUACCAGAGGAAGAGCUGGAGAGCAUUCUGCCUCUCUUCACACAUGUGUCCCACCUCAGUGUUGACAGGCUGCUGUUAAUGAAGAUGUUGCACUGCUGCAGUGUCUCUGAUGUCCAGCAGGAGACAGCAGCAGUUCUGCUCUCUGUCCUGCAGCACAAAUUGGACUUCUCCUGCUGUUCUGCUCUGGAUCUGACAGCAAACACAGACUCAGAGCCUCUACAUCUAACCGCUGAGGACUGCCGUGUGAUGUCCAGAGUCAUCCAGAGCGCUCAUUCAGACACAAAGACACAACUGAUUCUGCAGGACUGUGAGAUUAAUAAAGCUGGAAUGGAUCAGCUGUUCCCAGUGUUAUAUUCUGUUAAACUCUGCUGUGAUAAAUCUCUGCUGCUUCAGUUUCUGGCUCAUGUGAGGCCUGAGGAAGCAGAGUCUUUUUCUCAAGCUCUGGGUGAUGAGCUCGACCUCAGUCAGACUCAGCUGAACUCGCAGGUCUGUGAAGCUCUGAAGCUAAUUCUGGAAUAUUCUGAAGGACUGACUGAACUGGAUCUGAGUCAGUGCUGUCUCACCGAUGACAGCCUGGAUCUGCUGCUCCCAAACCUCCACAAAGUGCAAAACAUUGAUUUUAGUGGCAAUAGUAUCACUAACUUUGGGGCUCAUAAAAUCUACAGUAUCGUCACUCGCAACAGUAACAUGAAGACAAUAAGGUUUGUGUCUGAGCGUCACAAUGUCCAAGUUAUUUUAACUGUUAUUUAAAUGGUAAAAUCUGGGUUAAAGUGCUUUAUGUUUGAGUGAAGAGCAUUUUGUUGAUCACACUGUCAUCCAAAAAAAAAAAAAAAUUAUAAUAAUUCAGUCAAAUGUGUCCAAAUGUUUGCCGGAUAGUUCAUAGUGUCAUGUGCAACAGAGUGAAAAUCAUUAAUGGCAAUGAUGUUAAGUGAGAUGAAUCAAGCCACGAGGUCAUAAACCACAUUCAUGUGUUAUCAUCACUUUCAGUCAUAAUCAACAGUUGGUUUUUGUUGUAUUAUCUGUGACAAAAUCAGUCUCCUUUGUAAACUUUCUUUCCCCUUCUCCUCCCUUUAUAUUAUUUGCAUCAUGCAUAUUAUAGAUCUGAAUAUUUUCUUUUGCCUUUAUUCCUAUAUAAAUUUUUAAUUUGCCUUUUCAGUGUAGUUUUUGUUUAUUCUUAUUUUACAAUUAUUUUUCUUGUUUUAGUUUACGUAUAGGUUUUCUUUUUCUUUUUAAUUGUAGUAGCCUGUUUUAACAUUUCCAAAGUAAAUCUACUUAAUGGAUUUAUUUAAAAAUAGUUUUGUAAGAAGAUAAUCAGUUUUCUAAUUUCACUAUUAGUUUUUAUUUUUAGUAUUUUAGCACUGCCAAAGAAUAGCUACUUGCUGUAAUCCUUUAAAGACUAUUUUGUAAAAACCUUAUCAGCAUUAAAUUUCCAAGCACAGUUUAGUGCUACUAUGAAAUAAGCAUAAUCUGUAUAAACUGGGAGUCUUUUAUUUUUUAAUUACAUGCUAAAACAAUUGCAUUUAAAGCUACUGGCAUAAAACCUUAUGAAUGCUGAAAAAAGGCUUUUGAUAGACCAUAUUUCAAGUAAAAUACUGCAGCUUUGACAUCUUGCUGUUUUAAUAUCAGCAUCAUUCCAGUAGAGAGCAGCAAUGAUUUAUUAAUAACAAGAGCUCAGAAAACUCACAGCGAAGAUAGCAAGGGGGACAUAGAUAUAACACAACCAAAAUAAAGAGCAAGUGCAUUUAUACA